CCUACGGGAGGCAGCAGUGGGGAAUAUUGCACAAUGGGGGAAACCCUGAUGCAGCGACGCCGCGUGAAGGAAGGAGUACUUCGGUACGUAAACUUCUAUCAGCAGGGAAGAAAAUGACGGUACCUGACUAAGAAGCCCCGGCUAACUACGUGCCAGCAGCCGCGGUAAUACGUAGGGGGCAAGCGUUAUCCGGAUUUACUGGGUGUAAAGGGAGCGUAGACGGCUUUGCAAGUCCGGAGUGAAAGCCCGGGGCUCAACCCCGGGACUGCUUUUGAAACUGUAAAACUGGAGUGCGGGAGGGGCAGGUGGAAUUCCUGGUGUAGCGGUGAAAUGCGUAGAUAUUAGGAGGAACACCAGUGGCGAAGGCGGCUUGCUGGACUGUAACUGACGUUGAGGCUCGAAAGCGUGGGGAGCAAACAGGAUUAGAUACCCCUGUAGUC
rnacentral:rRNA from 1 species